AAAGUCGUAACAAGGUCUCCGUUGGUGAACCAGCGGAGGGAUCAUUGCUGGAACGCGCUUCGGCGCACCCAGAAACCCUUUGUGAACUUAUACCCACUGUUGCCUCGGCGCAGGCCGGCCUCUUCACUGAGGCCCCCUGGAAACGGGGAGCAGCCCGCCGGUGGCCAACUAAACUCUGUUUCUAUAGUGAAUCUCUGAGUAAAAAACAUAAAUGAAUCAAAACUUUCAACAACGGAUCUCUUGGUUCUG
rnacentral:misc_RNA from 1 species